rnacentral:piRNA from 1 species
UAGUGGUGAAGCUGUUUUCCUUGUGGUUU